CUGAGCUAGUGAUGAUAAGGUUAUCCCUGUCUGAAAUUAAGUUUUCCCCUGUGGAAUCAUGAUUCUGAGGCUCAG
ensembl:snoRNA